CCCUUAGAUGUUCUGGGCCGCACGCGCGCUACACUGACGAAUGCAACGAGCUUAUAACCUUGGCCGAAAGGUCUGGGUAAUCUCCAAAUUUCGUCGUGAUGGGGAUAGAUUAUUGCAAUUAUUAAUAUUCAACGAGGAAUGCCUAGUAAGCGCAAGUCAUCAGCUUGCGUUGAUUACGUCCCUGCCCUUUGUACACACCGCCCGUCGCUCCUACCGAUUGAAUGGUCCGGUGAAGCGUUCGGACCGUGGCCUUUGGACGGUUCGCCGUCUGUUGGCUGCGGGAAGUUCGUUAAACCUUAUCAUUUAGAGGAAGGAGAAGUCGUANCA
rnacentral:rRNA from 1 species